CCUGAGGAGAGGGUUUUGGAUUUCUUUCUGUGCUAUUGCCAUCCACUUCUCCUUCUACCCAUGCCAUUUCUCAUACCUGGACCCUGAAUUUAACAGCAACCCAGCUGCAAACAGCAGCCACUGAUGAUGCAGGGAUGCAGAGCAGCAGGAGAAAAGAAGCUGGGUCUCUGAGUGACUGUGUGGAGCAGAGCUGCCUUGCCAUCCUGAACAACAUACUCCUUGACUUUAGCAUUGCGGUGGACUCCUGAAGGGUAUUGGACUGGAAAAAGUCAUUCGAGAUGAGACCAACGUGCUUAGAACCAAAGGUUUGUUUGGGCUGAACACAGGUCUUGCCAGGCACUCAGGAUAAUAGAAUUUGGAGAAGAGAGAAGAAAUGUAAGCCCAGGCACCAAGACGAUCAGUGAAUGAGAAGGAAUGAUUAAGAGGCUGGAAGACAACACACUGUGAUGGACAGACAAUAGUAUGACCAAACGGUAUAUGAGUCAAUAAAAAACUUCCAGCUACCUCCACUCAAUAAUAAUAAUGGUUAAUGUGUUCCAUUCGCCUGGCUAAAGUGACUCACAAUGGAUGCUUUAUAGUCCGAUAUACCUGUUUUCAUGGUCUAAAAUAAAAUAUUGAUUGCUCAUCUGGAAAA